AGAGAUUGAAGAUGCAGAUUCUGACAACAACGAGCUGAUGGAGAUCAGGGAGCUGAUGGAUAUCAGGAAGCUGCAUCAAAUCUACAUCAAACGUUUGAGCUGCUGACAUGGACGCGUGAGCUGACUUGGAGGAGCUGGAGUGGUUGAUGUGACGAGCC
rnacentral:sRNA from 1 species